UUUUUGUCCGAAGCGGAGAAUUUAAGCCCCAGUAAACGGCGGUGGUAACUAUAACCAUCCUAAGGUAGCGAAAUUCCUUGUCGGGUAAGUUCCGACCUGCACGAAUGGCGUAACGACUUCCCUGCUGUCUCAACCACAGGCCCGGUGAAAUUGCAGUACGAGUAAAGAUGCUCGUUACGCGCGGCAGGACGAAAAGACCCCGGGACCUUCACUAUAGCUUGGUAUUGGUGUUUGGUUCGGUUUGUGUAGGAUAGGUGGGAGACUGUGAAGUGGUCACGCUAGUGGUUGUGGAGUCGAAAGUUGAAAUACCACUCUGAUCGGAUUGAGCACCUGAACCUUGGCCCAUGAUCUGGGUUGGGGACAGUGCCUGGUGGGUAGUUUAACUGGGGCGGUUGCCUCCUAAAGUGUAACGGAGGCGCCCAAAGGUUCCCUCAGCCUGGUUGGCAAUCAGGUGGUGAGUGUAAGUGCACAAGGGAGCUUGACUGUGAGACUGACAGGUCGAGCAGGGACGAAAGUCGGGACUAGUGAUCCGGCACCUACUUGUGGAAGUGGUGUCGCUCAACGGAUAAAAGGUACCCCGGGGAUAACAGGCUGAUCUUCCCCAAGAGUCCAUAUCGACGGGAUGGUUUGGCACCUCGAUGUCGGCUCGUCGCAUCCUGGGGCUGGAGUAGGUCCCAAGGGUUGGGCUGUUCGCCCAUUAAAGCGGCACGCGAGCUGGGUUUAGAACGUCGUGAGACAGUUCGGUCUCUAUCCGCCGCGCGCGUUGAAACUUGAAGAAGGCUGUCCCUAGUACGAGAGGACCGGGACGGACGUACCUCUAGUGUGCCAGUUGUCACGCCAGUGGCAGGGCUGGUUGGCUACGUACGGGAGGGAUAACCGCUGAAAGCAUCUAAGCGGGAAGCCUGUUUUGAGAUGAGGUUUCUUUUGAGGUUCCCUCUAGACUAGGGGGUUGAUAGGCCAGAUCUGGAAGCGUAGUAAUGCGUUAAGGUGACUGGUACUAAUUUUACCGAGUAAUAACAGUGU
rnacentral:rRNA from 1 species